GAGCCGCCCCUAGUACGAGAGGACCGGGGUGGACGGACCUCUGGUGUACCAGUUGUUCCGCCAGGAGCAUGGCUGGCUAGCUACGUCCGGACGGGAUAAGCGCUGAAAGCAUCUAAGCGCGAAGCCCUCCCCAAGAUGAGGUUUCCCAUCCAUUGGAGUAAGACCCCUGGGAGACUACCAGGUUGAUAGGCCGGAGGUGUACACCCCGCAAGGGGCUGAGCUCACCGGUACUAAUCGGUCGAGGACUUGACCUU
rnacentral:rRNA from 1 species